GAAGAAGGGAUGCAUAGAAGCUCUAAAGAGACCCUUCUCCCUCCUUUCCCCCCCACCCCCAGAGCUGCUCUCUGGGAAGGAAGGCACCUCUGGAACAUCUCCUGAACUUCAGCUUGACAGAUAUUUCCAAAAUAAUAGUCUCAUUUUCGGAAGACAAGAAUGGGACGGACGAGGAAACAGGACAGGACAGGAGAAAUAAUUGAUAAACCCAGCGACCAUCAACCUUAAAGGAGGGUGCCUCCCUCGCCACCUGGUUAAAAUUCCUCCUCCUCUCCCCACUUCCCUCCAUCCAUUUUGCUCUGUGCUGUUUAAACAAUACUUCAUCA
rnacentral:lncRNA from 1 species